rnacentral:rRNA from 1 species
CCUACGGGUGGCAGCAGUGAGGAAUAUUGGUCAAUGGACGAGAGUCUGAACCAGCCAAGUAGCGUGAAGGAUGACUGCCCUAUGGGUUGUAAACUUCUUUUAUAUGGGAAUAAAAUGUUCCACGUGUGGGAUUUUGUAUGUACCAUAUGAAUAAGGAUCGGCUAACUCCGUGCCAGCAGCCGCGGUAAUACGGAGGAUCCGAGCGUUAUCCGGAUUUAUUGGGUUUAAAGGGAGCGUAGGUGGAUUGUUAAGUCAGUUGUGAAAGUUUGCGGCUCAACCGUAAAAUUGCAGUUGAAACUGGCAGUCUUGAGUACAGUAGAGGUGGGCGGAAUUCGUGGUGUAGCGGUGAAAUGCUUAGAUAUUACUCAGAACACCGAUUGCGCAGGCGGCUUGCUAAUCCGCAUCUGACGCUGAUGCACGAAAGCGUGGGUAGCGAACAGGAUUAGAUACCCCUGUAGUC